CUUUUUUUUUUUAGAUUACGAGUGGUUUUUUUCCCACACUCUUUUUCGGGUUAAUCAAAACGCUCCGAAAACGAUAGGCGAGCUUCGCCGUCGUCUUAUAUGGCGGGCCCCGGUUUCUUUUAGGCCGACUACGGCGCACGCAAAUCGAAUUUUGGCGCUACGUCAUCGUGUCUCCGUCAUCAUUAUAAUAUUAUGACUUUUUUUUUUGUUAUUUUACACUACCCA